UACGAGGGGUCCUAGCGUUGUUCGGAAUCAUUGGGCGUAAAGGGUGUGUAGGUGGCUAUGUAAGUCAGGUGUGAAAGCCCCGGGCUCAACCCGGGAAGUGCAUCUGAUACUGCGUAGCUUGAGUACCGAAGAGGAUAGUGGAAUUCCAGGUGUAGUGGUGAAAUACGUAGAUAUCUGGAGGAACACCGGUGGCGAAGGCGGCUAUCUGGUCGAGUACUGACACUGAGACACGAAAGCAUGGGGAUCAAAACAGG
rnacentral:rRNA from 1 species